rfam:Ornithorhynchus anatinus chromosome 11, whole genome shotgun sequence.
CCCCUCUCAGGGUCACACCUGGAGAGUUUUCAGUACUCUACCAGUCUCGACUACGGGAGGGAGAGACAAGCAGAGGCAUAUCUAUUCCAUUCCUAGCUUGGGCACUGACUAGCAAGUGGAAGGCAAUCCGCUACAAGU